GGGCGAUUAGCUCAGACGGUUAGAGCGCUUCUCUGAUAAGGAAGAGGUCCCAGGUUCGAGUCCUGGAUCGCCCA
rnacentral:tRNA from 1 species